UCGAGCGGUAUUGUUUCUUCGGAAACGAGAGAGCGGCGCACGGGUGCGGAACACGUGUGCAACCUGCCUUUAUCUGGGGGAUAGCCUUUCGAAAGGAAGAUUAAUACCCCAUAAUAUUUUGAAUGGCAUCAUUUAAAAUUGAAAACUCCGGUGGAUAGAGAUGGGCACGCGCAAGAUUAGAUAGUUGGUAGGGUAACGGCCUACCAAGUCAGUGAUCUUUAGGGGGCCUGAGAGGGUGAUCCCCCACACUGGUACUGAGACACGGACCAGACUCCUACGGGAGGCAGCAGUGAGGAAUAUUGGACAAUGGGUGAGAGCCUGAUCCAGCCAUCCCGCGUGAAGGACGACGGCCCUAUGGGUUGUAAACUUCUUUUGUACAGGGAUAAACCUUUCCACGUGUGGAAAGCUGAAGGUACUGUACGAAUAAGCACCGUGCUAACUCCGUG
rnacentral:rRNA from 1 species